rnacentral:rRNA from 1 species
AGAGUUUGAUUCUGGCUCAGGAUAAACGCUGGCGGCGUGCUUAACACAUGCAAGUCGAACGGAGUAAUUCUCCCGAAAAUUGAAGAAGCUUGCUUCUGAAAGAUUCAUUUGAAUUACUUAGUGGCGGACGGGUGAGUAACGCGUGGGAAACCUGCCCUAUACUGGGGGAUAGCAGUUGGAAACGACUGAUAAUACCGCAUAAGCGCACAGCUUCGCAUGAAGCAGUGUGAAAAACUCCGGUGGUAUAGGAUGGUCCCGCGUCUGAUUAGCUAGUUGGUGAGGUAACGGCCCACCAAGGCGACGAUCAGUAGCCGGCCUGAGAGGGUGUACGGCCACAUUGGGACUGAGACACGGCCCAAACUCCUACGGGAGGCAGCAGUGGGGAAUAUUGGACAAGUGGGGGGAACCCUGAACUCCAGCGACGCCGCGUGAACGAAGAAGUAUUUCGGUAUGUAAAGUUCUAUCAGCAGGGAAGAUAAUGACGGUACCUGACUAAGAAGCACCGGCUAAAUACGUGCCAGCCGCCGC